rnacentral:rRNA from 1 species
GUGGAUUAGAUACCCUGGUAGUCCACGCCGUAAACGAUGCGCGCUAGAUCGGGGCGGCUCUGACGCCGGCUCGGUCGAAGUAAAAACGCUAAGCGCGCCGCCUGGGGAGUACGGUCGCAAGGCUAAAACUCAAAGGAAUUGACGGGGGCUCACACAAGCGGUGGAGCAUGUUGCUCAAUUCGAGGCAACGCGAAGAACCUUACCUGGGUUUGACAUGGCUGGAUUAACUCCUGGAAACAGGAGCCACGCCCGCAAGGGUGGAACAGUCACAGGUGCUGCACGGCCGUCGACAACU